AACAGUAUGUGCUGAAAAUGAAUUUCUAAUGCCAGAAAAAUCUUAUGAUGGUCCACUGCCUAUCAAGAAGGCCAAAUACAAUGACUUGAAAGAUUUAAAGAUAUUUUGUAGUAGUGCUGCCCAAGAAUACUUCACCAAUCUUCCCCAUUUGGAUGAAUAAAAUUAGGGUCUUAAAUGAAGCAAUCCAAAUUAAAUUAUAUUUUCAAUGUGCUAAGUUUUAUAUGUAAAAUAAAUAUCUGUAUUAUUUUGGA